UUUCUGGACAGGACGACCGGUCUACCCACUGGGUGAGCACAUGGUUCGGCUUGGCCAUUUUCUUGGAGAACGCUUCUGCGCUUCGUUGUGUGGGGUGGUAUCCAAGACUUUUACUUUGAGGAAAUUAGAGUGUUUCAAGCAGGCGCACGCCCUGAACACAUUAGCAUGGAAUAAUGAGAUAGGACCUUGGCUCUAUUUUGUUGGUUUCUAGAGCUGAGGUAAUGAUUAAUAGGGAUAGUCGGGGGCAUUCGUAUUUAACU
rnacentral:rRNA from 1 species